UUUUAACCGGAGGAAGAAGAUAUCUACCUUUAGCUCAACUCAAUUUGAAAACAUUUAGCUUGGUUAUGUUGGAUAGAAACGUGAGUCUUAUCUUGAGAAACAUGUUCUGAUGUGUGUACACAUCCGUGCUGUAAUUGAUUUAUUCAGAAAAGGUUGUUUCCCCAGGGGACGUAUUGCUACAAAAUGGCGGCAUAGUAAACAGUUGGACAUCUGCAUCAGUCCUCUCUUCUUCAAGUCAACUCAACUCAUCUCGUCAUCUACGAGGAUCUUCUGUUCGUCUCUCC
ensembl:lncRNA